UAGGGAAUCUUCGGCAAUGGGGGCAACCCUGACCGAGCAACGCCGCGUGAGUGAAGAAGGUUUUCGGAUCGUAAAGCUCUGUUGUAAGUCAAGAACGGGUGUGAGAGUGGAAAGUUCACACUGUGACGGUAGCUUACCAGAAAGGGACGGCUAACUACGUGCCAGCAGCCGCGGUAAUACGUAGGUCCCGAGCGUUGUCCGGAUUUAUUGGGCGUAAAGCGAGCGCAGGCGGUUUGAUAAGUCUGAAGUUUAAGGCUGUGGCUCAACCAUAGUUCGCUUUGGAAACUGUCAAACUUGAGUGCAGAAGGGGAGAGUGGAAUUCCAUGUGUAGCGGUGAAAUGCGUAGAUAUAUGGAGGAACACCGGUGGCGAAAGCGGCUCUCUGGUCUGUAACUGACGCUGAGGCUCGAAAGCGUGGGGAGCGAACAGG
rnacentral:rRNA from 1 species